rnacentral:lncRNA from 1 species
AGCUCAGGCAUCGCAGUUGCUUCAGGCAGGGUAAGUGGACACCUCCCCGUUUCCACUCCAACCACACCGCGGAGGACAGAGACCUCCAAAAGCACCGCCGUUCCUGUUCCUCUUCUCGAGCAAGAGCAGAGCACAACUAGGCCACGAGAAUGGCCCCACCAGGCCGGUCGCUUUGCUUGUUUUUAAAGAAAGGUCACGGAGCUCUGGUCUAGAAGAGAGCAAGGAACCUAUGGAGGUCUCCUGUGGUUGCCCUGUGGAGAGGAGGACAAGGAGUUCCUGCCUCUGCUCGCUGCCCCGAGGAAGAGUGCGGUGAAGAGAGGGGAGGAGGAGAAUUCUUAGAACACUGCUCAGUGCUCAGAUAGUGUGAGUGGGGUACUCUGUACUGCCUGUACCAGAUAAAGAGGUGGAAUCAGUGCAUGCGAUGCACAAUGGACCUUAACUAUGGAGUCACAAGUAACAUCUGCAUGAAAUCAGAGUUUAAAACUGUUAUUUGUGGAGAAGACUAUUUUGGAUACUGUGAAUGGGAAAACAGUUCAAUGAAAAGGWAGUCUUACUGUCAUGUGUGACUACUAUUGAUAUCAUUUCAAGUACGGUGCAGAGAAUAAGGAAUCCAGUCUGAGAUUAUUCUAUGCCUCUGUUUAAUCCUGUGGUACAGUUUGAAUCUUCAGACAGUGGGUAAUUUGACAAGCUCUGUAAAUUGUAGUAUCUAGGGAUGAUGAAAUGAAUAGAACGUGUCAGCCUUAAUUACUCAUUUUCCUGCCUUUGUGAAUAUAAUUUUUUGUAGUUUAAUGUGAUCACUGCUACUCUUACAUUUGUAAUGAAAACUGUAUACAUUAGAUAAAGAGAAAUAAGCACUGAGGAAAAGGGCACUUAACACAGUUUGUAAUYGUCUCAUUCAAGUUCUUUGUUUGAAGGCACUUUGUCAAAACAGCUAGAAAGCUGAAGAAAGAAUGCAUCUGAGCUGAACUGAUGUACUAUGCAUGGUGAUUACAAUUAAC